rnacentral:lncRNA from 1 species
CAGAGAAGCAGCAGUUUUAUUCUGGUGAGAUCAUACUGUGCUGUGAGUGUGAGGUGGGUGUAGAGCCAUGAAGAAAAGUACAUUAGAGGGACAGAGUUAGGUGUGGAGGUAACUGGACCCUAUGUAAGCAGAAAUGUCUUGGAUGUUUAUACAGCGUGGGAGGAACGCUGAGAACAAGGUGCAACGGAGGUCCUGGGUCCCAGUGUGAGGCAUGAUACAAAGAUGCAAGGCCCAGCAGAAGACAACUCAGGUUUGUUAUGAAUUGAGGAUAAAUAUCACUGAUAAAAUGGAGGUCAACAACUUAGCAGCAUCUUGUGGAAAAGGUUUGGAGGUGAGUGAAAUUAAAUGGUUACCUGAAUCAGGCAUUAUUCCAAUGGGAGACUGGAAGGUGUAGCCAGGAUUUUCUGAAGUGGAAGCAUUCAAAAUAUUGGGAACAAACACAGAAACUGUGGGGUCUGUGACAACUCGUGCGGAAUCUAAACUGAUACUGGGACCACAGUGUGCAAUAUCAUGCUCUGGGCCUGAAAGCUUUUGGCUCUAGUCUCUGAUGUACCAGGGAGAUCAACUGAUUAAAGUGCCAAAGGAUUUUCUUUCUAUUCAGUGGAUUUGAAAUACUUAAAGCUAAGCUGAACUCCAGAUCCUGCUA